GACAACUGUCGCUAGAUUUUAUCAGCUGUAGCUAAUAUAAGUUCAUGGUAAAAAGAAGAUACUGUUUCAAAAUUGCUUUUAAUGUUAUCUUACAAAUGUAAUGUUUGCAAAUUACAUAAUUUGCUUGUUACAGCAAUUCUACUAUAAGUAGUAAGCUAGUUGGCAGGACAUGCUAAUGUUUGCAGCUUACACUGGAGCAGGAACAUUUUUUACAAUUGCUUUUAAUCUGACAGUUAUGCGGCCAGUGAGUGUUCUGAACAAGACCUGUGAUGUCUGUGAAUGUCCUUCCUGCAUUUUGUAUUAUUCUCCUCCACAGGGAUGACACUUGCCAUCACACUGCAGCCACUUCAGUUUGAGUGUGAAGUGCAAUGCUGGCAGGGCCAAUGAGCCAACUCUCACUCCUUACUUCCUCCCUUCCUCUGCCUUUCUUCCUGCCCCGUCACCCUCACUUUCUUCCUGUCUCCACCGUCCCAGCCCACCUACUGCGUCUCCGCCGUCAGCAGCCUCUGGCCCGGUGACACUGGAGUGCCAGCUACCAGAUGUCAGCCAAGGUGGUGCAUGCCAGAACAUUCAGCUCAUCUUGGUUGUCAUGGCAACGUGACCCAUGAGGAGAGAAAACCUUGGAAAAUCUUAAAUGUCUCAUAGAAAGAAUAAGACAUAGCGAUAAAUGAAAAAGAGUUGUACGUACUCAUUGUAAACCCAGAUGAGUCAUGCGGUUUGUAAUGUGUGCUCACAAUAGAUGUCUUUAACCACUUUAGAGUGUCGAUCAGGUAAUUCAGAUUAUAAUAGAAAGCAAUAGUAACAUAUUGGUUACACACAUGCAUUCUCCUCACUGAAAGUCUAUUAAAUGUUGCAGUCUUGUUGU